GUUAAUAGUUUAACUGGUCUCCUAGUUAUUCAUUCUAUAAAGUCCCGUCAAGUUCAGGGAUGAUGGAAAAAUCAAGGGCUACAGAGAACAUGGACCUAAGACCUGAAAUUUUUUGAGUAAAAAUUAUGAAUUACUACUAAAAAUGAAAAUAUGGUGUAGGUCGCAUUCUCUCUGUUAAAGGGGCAAAAUAGGUCUCUAACCCAUGUUUUCUUUUUAUAUUUUGUUCAAAUAAUAUCUUUAAAUUUUAUUAGUAACUUCCAAAUUCUAUA